AUGUGGUGGCUGCAUAUAAACUUCCUCACGCAACUCAACAUUAAGAAAGGCAUUCUUAACAUCAAACUGAGACACGGACCAGUGGCGAACAGAGGCCACAACGAGAAGUGUGCGAACAGUGGUCAUAUGGGCCACAAGACGAGCUUUAUAACGCUCAAGAGAACCAUCAGAGCGAGUCUUAAUCUUAUAGACCCACUUACAAGUGAUGGGACGAACACGAGGAGGAAGAGAAACCAGAUCCCACGUGCUGGUGCGCUCAAGGGCAGCAAUCUUCUUUGCCAUGGAAACUGCCAUUCAGGAUGA
rnacentral:rRNA from 1 species